rnacentral:rRNA from 1 species
GACGAACGCUGGCGGCGUGCUUAACACAUGCAAGUCGAACGGAAAGGCCCUGCUUUUGUGUGGUGCUCGAGUGGCGAACGGGUGAGUAACACGUGAGUAACCUGCCCUUGACUUUGGGAUAACUUCAGGAAACUGGGGCUAAUACCGGAUAGGAGCUCCUGCUGCAUGGUGGGGGUUGGAAAGUUUCGGCGGUUGGGGAUGGACUCGCGGCUUAUCAGCUUGUUGGUGGGGUAGGUGCUUACCAAGGCUUUGACGGGUAGCCGGCCUGAGAGGGUGACCGGCCACAUUGGGACUGAGAUACGGACCAGACUCCUACGGGAGGCAGCAGUGGGGAAUAUUGCACAAUGGGCGGAAGCCUGAUGCAGCAACGCCGCGUGCGGGAUGACGGCCUUCGGGUUGUAAACCGCUUUCGCCUGUGACGAAGCGUGAGUGACGGUAAUGGGUAAAGAAGCACCGGCUAACUACGUG